GAGGCUGUUGCCGCGUCAGGCAAGGGGCUCCCCAUGGAAGAUGUAGUGUCCCCCACCUGCACAGUGGCCUGCCCGUGCAUGACGACCGUAGAGGCGAACUGUGCUGCUUGCGUCUGCGCACUGCCAGGCGACGUGGGCGAAAGGCUUGUACCAAUGUGGAUUCUGGCUUCAUUUUUGGAAUGGCGGUGUUGUUCACCUGGCUCUUGGCAGACACUUUAAUUGAGGUCCCUUUACCACGUUGUGUCAUGGUCAUAGUCUCUGUGCUCCGUUCUCCAUUGAGAGUCCUUGUAGUGGAGGAGGUCACCAGUGAUGUUUCAGGAUACGAAAGACUUGCAUUGGAUUAUCCCAGAAAGAGCAAAUGGAAGAAAAAUCAAGUACAAAAUACCAAGACAAUAGUAAACAGCAUAAAUAAAGAAUCAGAGAUACAACUGAAACAAACCCAUACCCAGAGUUCACAAUCUGACUCAGAAACUGCGGCUUCCAAACAGGGAUCUCAUGGACUGGUCAAAAUGCUCUACUCCGGAAAUAAGAAUAGCAGAAAAUAGAGAGAAGCUUUCUGUGCAGGAGAGGAGGUAUGUCUUCUAGGAGAGAGGAGGUAUGUUCUGCAUCUGAGCAGGGCACAAAAACAAAACCACACCAACAUCAGAGAAUAUGUCUGCCUCAC